UAGGGAAUCUUCCACAAUGGGUGAAAACCUGAUGGAGCAAUGCCGCGUGAAUGAAGAAGGUCUUCGGAUCGUAAAGUUCUGUUAUUAGAGAAGAACAAGUCAAGGAGUAACUGUCUUGACUUUGACGGUACCUAACCAGAAAGUCCCGGCUAACUACGUGCCAGCCGCCGCGGUAAUACGUAGGUGACAAGCGUUGUCCGGAAUUAUUGGGCGUAAAGGGAGCGCAGGCGGUUGGAAUAGUCUGAUGUGAAAGCCCACGACUUAACCGUGGAAGGUCAUUGGAAACUGUCCAACUUGAAUACAGAAGAGGUAAGUGGAAUUCCAAGUGUAGCGGUGAAAUGCGUAGAUAUUUGGAGGAACACCAGUGGCGAAGGCGACUUACUGGUCUGUAAUUGACGCUGAGGCUCGAAAGCGUGGGUAGCAAACAGG
rnacentral:rRNA from 1 species